GGGUAGUAGAACAAUGGGAUUAUGCUGUCACAAAAACCAAAGAAAAAACAUAAUUUCUUAAAUCAUGGUCUGUCACUGAAUCUGGUUAUAAAACCUUAUCUUGCACUAGAAGGAUCUGUAGCUUUUCCAGCUGAGAAUGGGGUUCAGGAUACCGAAUCAACACAAGAAAAGAGAGAAACUGGGGAUGAAGAAAACUCAGCUAAAUUUCCUGUAGGAAGGAGAGAUUUUGACAUAUUCUCAGACCACUUCUACCAAAACAUAAAUCUGUGAUUGUGAUCUCUGAAAGUCAGUCCUUUUAUCUACUCAAAAGAAGACACUAAGGUUUUCAGAAAUUAAAUUGCUUUUUGGAAAAGGUGGGAGAUUCUGGGAACAUAGAAACUUGAAUCCAGUUUUCUUCAACUCCACGUCAAGACAGUUGCAUUGUUAACUGAUCUGAUAAUGUCAACUUUUGAAAACAGAUAGUUAUGACUCAAGGCUUUGAGAAUGUAAAGAGACCACCUUCACUUGUUGAGAAAUGGUACGAUUUCACGUUAUCAGUGCAGUUCCGUUCUCGGGGGAAAGCCCAUCCGUACUACCAGGAGACUGGAUCCGCAAAGUAGACACUUGGUCUCAUGAAGCCACUGCUGGGCUCCAGAGAGAAGGGAAAACUAAGAGGUUUUAAAACCCCUACCCUCCUUGGUUUACCUCCAUCAUUAAAAAACAACAAUGACAACGACAAC
rnacentral:lncRNA from 10 species